CGCUAUCACUCCUACGGGAGGCAGCAGUAGGGAAUCUUCCACAAUGGACGAAAGUCUGAUGGAGCAACGCCGCGUGAGUGAAGAAGGGUUUCGGCUCGUAAAACUCUGUUGUUAAAGAAGAACAUAUCUGAGAGUAACUGUUCAGGUAUUGACGGUAUUUAACCAGAAAGCCACGGCUAACUACGUGCCAGCAGCCGCGGUAAUACGUAGGUGGCAAGCGUUGUCCGGAUUUAUUGGGCGUAAAGCGAGCGCAGGCGGUUUUUAAGUCUGAUGUGAAAGCCUUCGGCUCAACCGAAGAAGUGCAUCGGAAACUGGGAAACUUGAGUGCAGAAGAGGACAGUGGAACUCCAUGUGUAGCGGUGAAAUGCGUAGAUAUAUGGAAGAACACCAGUGGCGAAGGCGGCUGUCUGGUCUGUAACUGACGCUGAGGCUCGAAAGUAUGGGUAGCAAACAGGAUUAGAUACCCUGGUAG
rnacentral:rRNA from 1 species